UGUUCUGGCUGUGAACACAAACGCUUUGAAGCUGAUGGCUCCAGUUGCAGUUGUACCUCAGUUGUGCUGAGGUUCAGCUCAGGGUGUUUGCCUUGAAAAGUGAAACCAGGGAGGUAGAAAGACCAAGCAGCUGGGCUAUUAACUAUACCAUGGACACAAGCCAAGGUCUUUCAGCUGAUUUGCCCCAGUGUAAACCAGAAGAGAGCUGGACAGGUUUUAGUUCCAUGCUGUUACACUUUAGAAGCUGCACUGCUACAGCAAUCCUUCAAAAAGAAUUGCCAUGGGAAGAAACAGCAGGAUGUCCAACAGUGUUCUGCUGUGCCCUGUAGUGCUGCUCAACCCUCCCAUUAAGCCAACAACACAUUCCAGGUUUCAGUACUAUGCCAUCUUUCUUUUUCUUUUUUUUUUUUUUUUUUAACAUUUUGACACAGAUGAAUUUAAUCCUCCAGAGGGGAAAAAAAGACUAAUCAUAUUCAGUUUGGGGUUUUAGCCUGCUUUGAUCUGCAUGGAUGACAAGCAAUUUAAGAAUGAAACAAAAAAUAUGAAACAGAUAAGAACCUUUCCCUUGGGGUGAACUAGGUAGACAGCAGAUCUCGCUCAGUAGCUCAUCUGUUUUAUUUAGUUGUUUGAGGAGUGCUCUUUGUGGUCUCUUCCAGGAAAAAACACUGCAUAUUUGCCUUGUGGUACUGGUUGUUACACCCUGCUUUUGGGGCAACCAGGAGGGAAAAGCAUGAUUAUUAUUUGUCUUUGAAUAUAGUAUGGGGGAUAAUCUUUCAGCUUAAUCACAUAUUUUCCUGUGGUUUUCUGGCAUGAAGUGUCUCAAUGUAAUGAUACUUCAAAAAUUACUCAUAGUUAAAUUGUUGAGAUGACAGCUAUAAUUCAUUUUGAACAGAAAAACACCUCAGUGCACAGAAUUCAUGCCAAACCGAAUCACAUCUUGGUUGCCUAAAUUGUAUAUAUUCC
rnacentral:lncRNA from 1 species